AGCCUAACAAGUGGUGAAGCUGGUACCAAAAUUUGGAAGGUCUCUAUUUGGUUUUUGAGCUCGCAACCUCUCUACUACCUGCUCCUCAACUCUUAGCAAGAAUGAGAUCUCCUGGAUUGUACAAGUGACAUUCUCCAUCUUCUCUUCACCUGGUGUGUGAAUAAUGGGGUGUGAAGAAAUAAAGCAAGAUAUUCUAUAGAACAAGUAUCUCCACAUAUCUACCACAGCUGGGAUUCUGCUGGUUCAUACCUGGAGCUGGCACAUCUCUGGUCUCACCCAAGGCCCAUGAAAUUAUUAGUAGUUGUGGAAAAUACAAAUAAACCAAAAGAAAAAUGAAUUACCUGAAGUUCCUUUAAAAAAGAAAAUUGGGGAGGGA
rnacentral:lncRNA from 13 species